AUUGAACGCUGGCGGCAUGCUUUACACAUGCAAGUCGAACGGCAGCGCGGGCUUCGGCCUGGCGGCGAGUGGCGAACGGGUGAGUAAUGCAUCGGAACGUGCCCAGUAGUGGGGGAUAGCCCGGCGAAAGCCGGAUUAAUACCGCAUACGACCUGGGGGUGAAAGCGGGGGACCGAAAGGCCUCGCGCUAUUGGAGAGGCCGAUGUCGGAUUAGCUAGUUGGUGGGGUAAAGGCUUACCAAGGCGACGAUCCGUAGCUGGUCUGAGAGGACGACCAGCCACACUGGGACUGAGACACGGCCCAGACUCCUACGGGAGGCAGCAGUGGGGAAUUUUGGACAAUGGGGGCAACCCUGAUCCAGCCAUGCCGCGUGCGGGAAGAAGGCCUUCGGGUUGUAAACCGCUUUUGUUCGGGAAGAAAUCCUCUGGGCUAAUACCCCGGGGGGAUGACGGUACCGGAAGAAUAAGCACCGGCUAACUACGUG
rnacentral:rRNA from 1 species